GCGCGAAAACUUUACAAUGCGGGAAACCGUGAUAAGGGAAUCUCGAGUGCCAGCAUAUAAUGUUGGCUGUCCAGAUGCCUAAAAAGCAUCUGUUAGCAAGGGCCGGGCGAGACCGGUGCCAGCCGCCGCGGUAACACCGGCGGCCCGAGUGGUAACCGCUUUUAUUGGGUCUAAAGGGUCUGUAGCCGGCCAAGUAAGUCCCUUGGGAAAUCUGGCAGCUUAACUGUCAGGCUGCUAGGGGAUACUGCUAGGCUUGGGACCGGGAGAGGUGAGAGGUACCUUGGGGUAGGGGUGAAAUCUUGUGAUCCUCGGGGGACCACCAGUGGCGAAGGCGUCUCACCAGAACGGGUCCGACGGUAAGGGACGAAAGCUAGGGGCACGAACCGGAUUAGAAACCCUUGU
rnacentral:rRNA from 1 species